rnacentral:rRNA from 1 species
AGGACGAACGCUGGCGGCGUGCUUAACACAUGCAAGUCGAACGGUGAAGCCCCUUCGGGGGUGGAUCAGUGGCGAACGGGUGAGUAACACGUGAGCAACCUGCCCUUGGCUCUGGGAUAACUUCGGGAAACCGGAGCUAAUACCGGAUACGACACGCGAACGCAUGUUCUGCGUGUGGAAAGAUUUAUCGGCCAGGGAUGGGCUCGCGGCCUAUCAGCUAGUUGGUGGGGUAACGGCCCACCAAGGCGACGACGGGUAGCCGGCCUGAGAGGGCGACCGGCCACACUGGGACUGAGACACGGCCCAGACUCCUACGGGAGGCAGCAGUGGGGAAUAUUGCGCAAUGGGCGAAAGCCUGACGCAGCGACGCCGCGUGAGGGAUGAAGGCCUUCGGGUUGUAAACCUCUUUCAGCAGGGAAGAAGCGAAAGUGACGGUACCUGCAGAAGAAGCACCGGCUAACUACGUGCCAGCAGCCGCGGUAA